rnacentral:lncRNA from 1 species
GACAUUCUGUCCUUUGCUUACUCUGGAAACAAAUUCAACCAACUUGUGAAAGAAAGAGAUAGUAGUAAAACUUUCCAAAAAUACACACACUGAACAAACUGUGAAAGUCAGGAGACAAGAGGGCAACUUCAAAAUGAGUGCCUUGUUUCUUGUGUCGUAACUCCAAACUUCUGAUUUCAGAAAUGCAUGACCAGAAAAAUAAAAGGUCCAUGAUAAAUUCACGGCUGAAAUAGCCACAUUUACAGCUAGUAAAACAAACAAACAAACAAACAAACAAACAGAGAAAAGAAGAAAGAAAGAGAAUUCCUCUAAUAAAACUACUAAAGAUCACAUUUCCAUAAGAAUAAGCUCAAUUUGAACUGUUCAUAGAAAAAGAGAUCGUUAAUUCCCAUGUGUUACAAAAGGGCUUAAAGAGUUAAAUCACAGAAUAUGAAAACCUGUGUUUAAAUAAUUUAUAGGCAAUGACACAGGCUGAGGAGGGAAAUAAAAUUAAUAAGUGAUAGGAAUGAGGGGCUGUCAACACCAACUCCAGAUUUCAUGCUCCUUGGCUUGAUCCUGUAUUUUAUUUAACACAGAUUUCUGCAUAUGAAUAAUUGGACUCUUCUUGUGAGGUCUAGUACUUUAAAAUCUAAGACUAAAGAACCUUGGGCUGUUAGGGUAUCUGAGAGAUAUAAUACAGGGCCGUGAGCUGGUGGCCUUGCUGGGGGUGGGCAGUUUGCAAGUAUGACCCUUGUUUACAGCUGCAACUUGCAUGACAGUCUAAGCAGUGUUGCUUCCAAUUGUCCCAAAGGGUGAUCCUCUGCACAAUGAUCUUUUUAGAUGUAGCAAAAUUCAAUCUCAGACUGCUUACAAGGAUGCUUUCCAUUUGCAUUUACUUUGGCUUUAUUUUAUUGUAAUUUUGCCUCACCAGGUACUGAGCCAAAUCAAACAAGGGGAAACUUUUGAAAUACUCUAUUCCAGCUUCCGCUUGAUGUUGUUUUCUACUCUGCUGUUUUGAAAUGGGAGCCAGCAGGUAAAUGGGUUGUGUUGUCUCAUAAGGGGCUGCCUCAGGCAAAAUAUUCCCAUUAAGUAGGACAUUCCAGGUAUUGUGGGGUAUGAAGGUUAUACCAUUUGGAAAGCUCUUUUUUUUAAAAAAAAAAAAAAAGAGCAUAAAAUUAUGAAUUGAAAACUAAAUAGAGAGCUUGGAAGAAGACUCUUGAGAAUGAAAGGGUCUGAAACAAGCUUCAAUAACUUCACAGUGAAUAUACCUGCUAUCAAUGCCCUCCUUAAUAGCACCUCAAGGGUGGGAAGAGCCAGGUCUUGGGGAAAGCUGGCACUUCCUUCUGCCUACGUAGUGGAGCUGUACCUUUUCUUAUUGGUUUCGAUAAGAGAAGAGAGUGCUUUGGGAGCUAAAAAUGUAGUCUGAAUAUUCAAAAUAAUAACAUCAAAGGGAAGUCUCCUCAAGGUUUUAUUGUCUUAGCAAGGUGACUAUGCAUGUGCAGAGACAAGAUAUGAGGGAAUUAAUGAAUCCAUUAAUUUAGAGAAGCAUAAGGUCUCUAAAAGAAAGGAGAGCUUGGGGUUUUUCUAAAAAUAAUUUCAAGUUUGCAAAAAACAGGUGAAAAACUAGUUCAGGGACACCUGGGUAACUCAGGGGUUAAGCAUAUGCCUUUGGCUCAGAGCAGGAUCCCAGGUCUGGGGAUCAAGUCCUGCAUAGGCUCCCUGAGAGGAGCCUGCUUCUCUCUCUGCCUGUCUCUAACUCUCUCUGUGUGUCUCUCAUGAACAAAUAAAUAAAAUCUUAAAAAAAAAAAAAAACUAGUUCAAAGAGUUUGCAUAUACUUUUCACCCAGCUUUUCCAGAUGUUGACAUCUUAUGCAACCAUAUACCAACUCCAGGAAAUUAACAUUGAUGCUAUACUAUUAACUAAUAAACAGACUAUGCAGUUUGUGCCAAUUAUCACAGGUAUGUCCUUUUGCUAGACCAGAAUCUAGUUCAAGAACCCAUACUGCAUUUAGUUGUCACGCCUCCUUAGUCUCCUGUAGUUUGUGACAUUUCCUCAAUUUUCCUUUGUCUUUCAUGACCUUGUUAUUGGAGAGUACUAACUAGUUAUUUUGUAGAAUGGCUCUCAAUUUGGGUGUAUUGAUGUCUUCUCAUGAUUAAUUCAGGAUGUGCAUUUUCGGGACGGAUAUCAUAGAAGUGAUGUUCUCUUUUCUCCUGCAUCGUAUUCAAGAAGUAUAUGAUAUUGAUGUGUCCCAUUACUGCUGAUACUAACUUUGAUCAUUUGGUUAAAGCGAUAGAUGCUAGGUUUCUCCAAUAUACAAUUACUAUUUUCGCUUUUUAACCUAUACAUUCCUUGUGGGGACUAUUAUUAAUAAAUUUUGGGACCAUGCAAAUAUACUUCCUCUUUUUUUAAGAUUAUUUAUUUAUUUAUUCAUGACAGACAGAGAGAAAGGCAGAGGGAGAAGCAGGUUCCACACAAAGAACCCGAUAUGGUACUCGAUCCCAGGACAACGGGAUCACACCCUGAGCCAAAGGCUGACACUCAACUGCUGAGCCACCCAGGUGUCCCAAAUAUACGGUUUCUUAUCAUACUUUCACCCACUAAUUUUAGUACCUUGAUGAUUCUUGCCUCUGACAAUUACUGCUGUGCUGUUUGCUAAAUGCUGAUUUUUCUAUUUCCAUUAUUCUUUCUACACUUACUCAUUUGCAUGGUACUGUAAGAAGGAAUUGUCCCUUCUAGAAUAGGGACUUUCAAAAGAAAAAAAUUCUAAAAAUUGAAUUGCUCUUAAAUCAACACAGUUGCUUUAAGUAUAAAAUAGCACCUCUCUGGGUUAACAGAUUUUUUGAUGAUGCGAAAAUUCUGAACCCUUCUCUUUCAACAUUCUGGUGGCAUUUCAAGAUUCUUCAGGAACUCCACUGCAGUAAAGAAGAGAGCACAAUGAAUGGCAGGUCAGAGAAAAACCAUCAGUUCCUCUUUCCAACUAUGGCUUAUAAUGAGAGAACUUUGAAACAAACGGAUAGCUUUUCUUACAAAUGUCUAUUAUGCAAACUUAGCCAAUAUGUACCAUUUAUGUCUUUUUUUCUGGUCCAGGAUUAAAUUCAGCAACCCGCACUGCAUUUAGUUGUCAUGCCUAGGUUGAUCUGACCCAUUGAAAGGAUCAGUAUGAUACACCUGCCCUGACAAAAGAACCGAUAGGAUGGCCAUUCCUGACACUGCCUAUCUGCUAAUCAGCUCUCCCUGCACUUGUGACCUCCAUGU